rnacentral:lncRNA from 1 species
UUAUCUCGCAACUCCAAAACCUGGUAAGUCUCUCGCAAAACCUGAAUUUAGAUGAAUGGACUUCAAACGAAAGGAUUUUCUUACAAAAGCUAAAAAAAUAUAACGGCAUGGUGAGAAUGGGAAAAUGAAAAUAGAAAGCAAAAGAAAAAGUUUCCAUCCGAUAAGACAAGUACAAAAUAAUCCAAGUUCUUAUUUGCCAUGCCAAUAUUAUUCAUGAAGAACUAAUCUGAUUUCUUUUCCAGAUAAGGUUAGUAACAAUUAAUCUGUAAAUAACUGAACCAACUUGGUUACUACGACAUUACUCUUUCGCUUCCGCACUCAUUUUCUGCACAGUUGCGGUUCAUCAACGGCCGCGUUCACCAAAACGAGUUCACUCUCCCCACUUCACUUAUUUCCCCACCGUUAUGUCUCUCCAAGUGCAGCAGCAAGACAUGAACUCCUAUCAUUAUAAGCAAUAUAAAAAGCCCUCCUAAAAAUCCACCACCUGUUUGGCCAGAGAAACUCCAUUACUCAUUUCCACACUCUCAAUUUUCAGCCCUUUCAUCAAACAAAAGCAUUACUUACCCAUGUUUAGACAUAACUGACUUCAGCACAUAAAUUACGACAAGCUGGUCAAUUCACGUAAACAAGGAAAAAUUAACUCAAUCAAGUGAAGUAGGCACAAAAUGACCUCAAUGAGACAUCAGAGACCUCUAAAAUCAAAUCAAAUUCAGUUAAACAAAGAAUCACUGAUCAAAGAUAAGCAAAAGAAAAAAAGCAAUGAAUAACAGAAAGAAAUUUCUUAUAAAAAUUCAAUAAAAUUAAAAAAAAAAGCUAAUCAUCUUUUCUGGUUAAGUGAUUUCGUCAGCAAAUAAGAGAAAAUAGAAAUUCUGGAAUAUACCUAGGGUUUCUAGCUUUGGGAAUUUACCUAAUGAGAAAUCAGUCUCUCUGUUUCUAGAUUUGUAACUAUCAUGGCCGAGCGACCACGAUCAGGUGAGAUAAUCGGAUUUUGCACCGGCGACGAUGCAAAUGUUUGGGUUUGGGGUUGGGUUUCGGUUUGACGAUAGACCAAGGAAUGUUAGGGCUUUGGGUGAUUUAAGGAUUUUAUUUAAUUCAAGUAAAGUGAAAAUAAUUGAAGUACCCCUAAGUUGGUUACGC